rnacentral:rRNA from 1 species
AGAGUUUGAUCCUGGCUCAGGACGAACGCUGGCGGCGUGCUUAACACAUGCAAGUCGAACGGUGACCUGCGGAGCUUGCUCCGCGGCGAUCAGUGGCGAACGGGUGAGUAACACGUGAGUAACCUGCCCCAGACUCUGGAAUAACCCCGGGAAACCGGAGCUAAUACCGGAUACGAGACAGAGAGGCAUCUCUACUGUCUGGAAAGUUUUUCGGUCUGGGAUGGACUCGCGGCCUAUCAGCUUGUUGGUGAGGUAACGGCUCACCAAGGCGACGACGGGUAGCCGGCCUGAGAGGGCGACCGGCCACACUGGGACUGAGACACGGCCCAGACUCCUACGGGAGGCAGCAGUGGGGAAUAUUGCACAAUGGGCGAAAGCCUGAUGCAGCGACGCCGCGUGAGGGAUGACGGCCUUCGGGUUGUAAACCUCUUUCAGCAGGGAAGAAGCGCAAGUGACGGUACCUGCAGAAGAAGCACCGGCUAACUACGUGCCAGCCGCCGCGGUAAUUC